rnacentral:rRNA from 1 species
ACUCCUACGGGAGGCAGCAGUGGGGAAUAUUGCACAAUGGGCGCAAGCCUGAUGCAGCCAUGCCGCGUGUAUGAAGAAGGCCUUCGGGUUGUAAAGUACUUUCAGCAGUGAGGAAGGUGGGUAUGUUAAUAGCAUAUUCAUUUGACGUUAGCUGCAGAAGAAGCACCGGCUAACUCCGUGCCAGCAGCCGCGGUAAUACGGAGGGUGCGAGCGUUAAUCGGAAUUACUGGGCGUAAAGCGCAUGCAGGUGGUUUGUUAAGUCAGAUGUGAAAGCCCGGGGCUCAACCUCGGAAUUGCAUUUGAAACUGGCAAACUAGAGUACUGUAGAGGGGGGUAGAAUUUCAGGUGUAGCGGUGAAAUGCGUAGAGAUCUGAAGGAAUACCGGUGGCGAAGGCGGCCCCCUGGACAGAUACUGACACUCAGAUGCGAAAGCGUGGGGAGCAAACAGGAUUAGAUACCCUGGGAGGCGUAG